rnacentral:rRNA from 1 species
CCAUAAACAUUUUCUAACCCUCUCCCCCUACUGAAUGAUUUUAUAAUCAUAUAAAACACCUUCUGUUAGAACUAGUAACAAGAAAUUGACUUUCUCCUAAAUAUAAACUUAAACCAGCUUUGACCACCUACUGGUAUUUAACGCAAAUGAUCGAACUAUAGUAACUUCCUUCGCAAACCCUAUAGCCCCCUGACGUUACCCUAACACCAGAAUAUUAUAGGAAAGAUUAAAAGGGAGGGAAGGAACUCGGCAAAUACUAGCCCCGCCUGUUUACCAAAAACAUCGCCUCCUGCUAACCCAUAGGAGGUCCAGCCUGCCCAGUGACAAAGUUUAACGGCCUCGGUACCCUAACCGCGCGAAGGUAGCAUAAUCACUUGUUCCUUAAAUAGGGACCUGUAUCAACGGCAUCACGAGGGCUAGACUGUCUCCCCUCCCUAAUCAGUGAACCUGACCUCUUCGUGAAAAGGCGGAGAUACUGCUAUAAGACGAGAAGACCCCAUGGAGCUUAAAACUAAGUGACACCCUCUCACACAUAAACCAUAAGAGAUAAAAAGGCUGUCAACUAAUUUUUGGCUGGGGCAUCCAGGGAGUAUAACACAACCUCCUUGACGAAUUUAUCUUAGAAUUACUAUUCCAAGAAGCAGUAAACUGAAGUAACCUGACCCGAUACCUAAUAAUCGAUCAACGAACCAAGUUACCCUGGGGAUAACAGCGCAAUCCAUUUCAAGAGCCCCUAUCGACAAAUGGGUUUACGACCUCGAUGUUGGAU